GUGGUAUUUCUGGAUCCUUACCAAGGCAGUAAUGGUGUAUGCCUUCUCUCAAAGUAUGUGGUAUUUUUGGUAUAAGGCAUAGUGGCAUUGCCUUCUCUCUCACCCUACUCUAAUAAGGUUUUGAUAUCUAGAGCUCAUAGGUGGGAGACAGCUAAUACAUACUUACAAGACAUUUAUUGCAUAGUCAAACCAUGGAUCUAGAAGAACAAGUCAAUAAGUCAAAUCAAGAUGUGCAUGUGUGGUGAAUGAAUGGUGUAUGGUGAUGAUGGUGAUAACAAUGGUGAAAGUCUAAUUCUACUUGUGCUCUUUUGAGGGAUACAUACCUUUCUUGCUCUUUUGAAACUUUUUGAGGAGAAUGAGAUGCUCUAUAUUUUCUUUUUCUUUCUCUCAGGUGGGUAUCUUGUACCCCUAAUUCUACUGUCGGACACUUGUCCAUUUUUACCUCUCGUCUCACUUUUUUCUUCUUUCGAGGUUCCGGGCACG
rnacentral:lncRNA from 1 species